rnacentral:rRNA from 1 species
CCGUAGGUGAACCUGCGGAGGGAUCAUUACAGAGUUGCAAAACUCCCUAAACCAUUGUGAACGUUACCUUCAAACCGUUGCUUCGGCGGGCGGCCCGGGUCCGCCCGGUGCCCCCUGGCCCCCUAGCGGGGCGCCCGCCGGAGGAAAACCCAACUCUUGAUUAUUAUGGCCUCUCUGAGUCUUCUGUACUGAAUAAGUCAAAACUUUCAACAACGGAUCUCUUGGUUCUGGCAUCGAUGAAGAACGCAGCGAAAUGCGAUAAGUAAUGUGAAUUGCAGAAUUCAGUGAAUCAUCGAAUCUUUGAACGCACAUUGCGCCCGCCAGUAUUCUGGCGGGCAUGCCUGUUCGAGCGUCAUUUCAACCAUCAAGCCCCGCGCUUGUGUUGGGGACCUGCGGCUGCCGCAGGCCCUGAAAACCAGUGGCGGGCUCGCUGUCACACCGGGCGUAGUAGAUUUUAUCUCGCUCAGGGCGUGCUGCGGGUUCCGGCCGUUAAAAAGCCUUUUUUACCCAAGGUUGACCUCGGAUCAGGUAGGAAUACCCGCUGAACUUAAGCAUAUCAAUAA